GGUCAAGUUAUUAAGGGUGCAGGGCGGAUGCCUUGGCACUAGGAGCCGAUGAAGGACGUGAUAAGCUGCGAUAAGCUUCGGGGAGUUGCACGUAAACUUUGAUCCGAAGAUUUCCGAAUGAGGAAACUCACUUAGAGUAAUGUCUAAGUAUCAUUAAGUGAAUACAUAGCUUAAUGAGGGGAACUCAGGGAACUGAAACAUCUAAGUACCUGAAGGAAGAGAAAGAAAUUCGAUUCCGUAAGUAGCGGCGAGCGAACGCGGAUUAGCCCAAACCAAUAAAGUUUUCUUUAUUGGGGUUGCGGACAUAUCAUAACGAAGAGGUAUCGUAAUUGAAGAGGUUUGGAAAGACCCACCACAGAAGGUAAUAGUCCUGUAUGUUAAACGAGAAGACUUUAGAUAUGAUCCAGAGUACCACGGGACACGUGAAACCCUGUGGGAAGCAGGAGGGACCACCCUCCAAGGCUAAAUACUACCUAGUGACCGAUAGCGUAUAGUACCGUGAGGGAAAGGUGAAAAGAACCCCGGGAGGGGAGUGAAAUAGAACCUGAAACCCUGCACUUACAAGCUGUGGAAGCACAUUUCUUGUGUGACCGCGUACUUUUUGUAGAACGGGCCAACGAGUUACGUUAAGUAGCAAGGUUAAGCACUUAAGGUGCGGAGCCGUAGCGAAAGCGAGUUUUAACUGAGCGUUCAGUUACUUGACGUAGACCCGAAACCGGGCGACCUACCCAUGAGCAGGAUGAAGCGAAAGUAAAAUUUCGUGGAGGUCCGAACCCACGAGCGUUGAAAAGCUCGGGGAUGACUUGUGGGUAGCGGUGAAAUUCCAAUCGAGCCCGGAGAUAGCUGGUUCUCCCCGAAAUAGCUUUAGGGCUAGCCUCAAGGUGAGAGAUACGGAGGUAGAGCACUGAAUGUCCUAGGGGGUAUUGCACCUACCGAAGACUAUCAAACUCCGAAUGCCGUCAUCUUAUACUUGGGAGUCAGACUGUGGGUGAUAAGAUUCAUAGUCGAAAGGGCAACAGCCCAGAUCGUCAGCUAAGGUCCCUAAAUGUAAGUUAAGUGGUAAAGGAUGUGGGAUUGCACAGACAACCAGGAUGUUGGCUUAGAAGCAGCCACUCAUUCAAAGAGUGCGUAAUAGCUCACUGGUCGAGUGAUCCUGCGCCGAAGAUUUCCGGGGCUAAAACUUACUACCGAAGCUACGGCAUCAGUAAUGAUGGGUAGGGGAGCUUCCCAUACGGGUUGAAGCAUGACCGUAAGGACAUGUGGACAGUAUGGGAGUGAGAAUGUUGGCAUGAGUAGCGAGAUGUGGGUGAGAAUCCCACAGGCCGUAAACCCAAGGUUUCCAGGGGAAGGUUCGUCCGCCCUGGGUUAGUCGGGACCUAAGCUGAGGCCGAAAGGCGUAGGUGAUGGACAACAGGUUGAUAUUCCUGUACUACCGAUAACCGUUUGAGAGAAGGGAUGACACAGUAGGAUAAGCUAAGCACACUGUUGGUUAUGUGUGCCCAAGCAUUGAGGCAGUCAAAGUAGGCAAAUCCGCUUUGAUAAUGCUGGGAUGUGAUGGGGAGCGAAAUUUAGUAGCGAAGUAGCUGAUUUCACACUGUCAAGAAAAGUCUCUAUCGAGGUUAAAGGUACCCGUACCGCAAACCGACACAGGUGGGUGAGGAGAGUAUCCUAAGGCCAGCGAGAGAACUGUUGUUAAGGAACUCGGCAAAAUGACCCCGUAACUUAGGGAUAAGGGGUGCCACCAUCAGGUGGCCGCAGAGAAUAGGCCCAAGCGACUGUUUACCAAAAACAUAGGUUUCUGCUAAGUCGCAAGACGAUGUAUAGGAGCUGACGCCUGCCCGGUGCUGGAAGGUUAAGGGGAUCUGUUAGAGCAAUCGAAGCAGUGAACUUAAGCCCCAGUAAACGGCGGCCGUAACUAUAACGGUCCUAAGGUAGCGAAAUUCCUUGUCGGGUAAGUUCCGACCCGCACGAAAGGCGUAACGAUUUGGG
rnacentral:rRNA from 5 species